UACAGAGGGUGCGAGCGUUGUUCGGAAUUACUGGGCGUAAAGCGCGUGUAGGCGGUUCAAUAAGUCAGAUGUGAAAUCCCGGGGCCUAACUCCGGAAGUGCAUUUGAAACUGUUGAGCUGGAGUGAUGUAGAGGAUGGCGGAAUACCCAGUGUAGAGGUGAAAUUCGUAGAGAUUGGGUAGAACACCGGUGGCGAAGGCGGCCAUCUGGGCAUUAACUGACGCUGAGACGCGAAAGCGUGGGGAGCAAAC
rnacentral:rRNA from 1 species